rnacentral:rRNA from 1 species
UGCAAGUCGAGCGGGAAACGAGUUGUCUGAACCUUCGGGGAACGAUAACGGCGUCGAGCGGCGGACGGGUGAGUAAUGCCUGGGAAAUUGCCCUGAUGUGGGGGAUAACUAUUGGAAACGAUAGCUAAUACCGCAUAACGUCUACGGACCAAAGAGGGGGACCUUCGGGCCUCUCGCUUCAGGAUAUGCCCAGGUGGGAUUAGCUAGUUGGUGAGGUAAUGGCUCACCAAGGCGACGAUCCCUAGCUGGUCUGAGAGGAUGAUCAGCCACACUGGAACUGAGACACGGUCCAGACUCCUACGGGAGGCAGCAGUGGGGAAUAUUGCACAAUGGGCGCAAGCCUGAUGCAGCCAUGCCGCGUGUAUGAAGAAGGCCUUCGGGUUGUAAAGUACUUUCAGUCGUGAGG